GACGAACGCUGGCGGCGUGCUUAACACAUGCAAGUCGAACGGAAAGGCCCUGCUUUUGUGGGGUGCUCGAGUGGCGAACGGGUGAGUAACACGUGAGUAACCUGCCCUUGACUUUGGGAUAACUUCAGGAAACUGGGGCUAAUACCGGAUAGGAGCUCCUGCUGCAUGGUGGGGGUUGGAAAGUUUCGGCGGUUGGGGAUGGACUCGCGGCUUAUCAGCUUGUUGGUGGGGUAGUGGCUUACCAAGGCUAUGACGGGUAGCCGGCCUGAGAGGGUGACCGGCCACAUUGGGACUGAGAUACGGCCCAGACUCCUACGGGAGGCAGCGGUGGGGAGUAUUGCACAAUGGGCGGGAGCCUGAUGCAGCAACGCCGCGUGCGGGAUGACGGGCUUCGGGUUGUAAACCGCUGUCGCCUGUGACGAAGCGUGAGUGACGGUAAUGGGUAAAGAAGCACCGGCUAACUACGUG
rnacentral:rRNA from 1 species